AAUUAGGGUUCGAUUCCGGAGAGGGAGCCUGAGAAACGGCUACCACAUCCAAGGAAGGCAGCAGGCGCGCAAAUUACCCAAUCCCGAUACGGGGAGGUAGUGACAAUAAAUAACGAUACAGGGCUCUUAUGGGUCUUGUAAUUGGAAUGAGUACAAUUUAAAUCCCUUAACGAGGAACAAUUGGAGGGCAAGUCUGGUGCCAGCAGCCGCGGUAAUUCCAGCUCCAAUAGCGUAUAUUAAAGUUGUUGCAGUUAAAAAGCUCGUAGUUGAAUUUCGGGGUUCUACCGUUGGUCGGGCAAUUGUCUGUACUGGCGUGUAGAAUUUCUACCUUCUGGGGAACCAUCAUGUUAUUAAUUUAGCGUGGUGGGAAACCAGGACCUUUACCUUGAAAAAAUUAGAGUGUUCAAAGCAGGCUUACGUCUGAAUACAUUAGCAUGGAAUAAUAAAAUAGGACGGUGGUCCUGUUUUGUUGGUUUCUGAAUCACCGUAAUGAUUAAUAGGGAUAGUUGGGGGCAUUAGUAUUCAAUUGUCAGAGGUGAAAUUCUUGGAUUUAUUGAAGACUAACUUCUGCGAAAGCAUUUGCCAAGGAUGUUUUCAUUAAUCAAGAACGAAAGUUAGGGGAUCGAAGACGAUCAGAUACCGUCGUAGUCUUAACCAUAAACUAUGCCGACUAGGGAUCGGACGAUGUUA
rnacentral:rRNA from 1 species